rnacentral:rRNA from 1 species
GAUGAACGCUAGCUACAGGCUUAACACAUGCAAGUCGAGGGGCAGCAUUAGGUAGCAAUACAUGGGUGGCGACCGGCGCACGGGUGCGUAACGCGUAUCCAACCUUCCCGAUACUCUUGGAUAGCCUUCCGAAAGGGAGAUUAAUACAAGAUGGUGUUUCAAUUCCGCAUGUUAUUGAAACUAAAGAUUUAUCGGUAUCGGAUGGGGAUGCGUGACAUUAGAUAGUAGGCGGGGUAACGGCCCACCUAGUCUACGAUGUCUAGGGGUUCUGAGAGGAAGGUCCCCCACACUGGAACUGAGACACGGUCCAGACUCCUACGGGAGGCAGCAGUGAGGAAUAUUGGUCAAUGGUCGGAAGACUGAACCAGCCAAGUAGCGUGAAGGAUGAAGGUUCUAUGGAUUGUAAACUUCUUUUAUACGGGAAUAAAACCUCCCACGUGUGGGAGCUUGUAUGUACCGUAUGAAUAAGCAUCGGCUAACUCCGUGCCAGCAGCCGCGGUAAUAC